UGCGCCUCUCUACCCUCGCUCUCUCUCCCCGACGAAGUCCCUCUCUCUCUCUGCCCUCUCUCUUUCCGACCGGCGACCCACCGCGAGCAACCGACGAACCAGAAGAAUACCGGCGAGAGGACCGCGAGCAACCGACCGGCGUGCUACCUCCCUCUCUCUCUGCCCUCCCUCUUUCCGACCGACCGGCGUGCGACCUCCCCCUCUCUCUCUCUGCCCUUCCUCUUUCCGACCGACCGGCGUGCGACCUCCCUCUCUCUCUCUGCCCUCCCUCUUUCCGACCGGCGAACCACCGCACCACCCCUCCGGCUCCGGAUCUGCCCCGACUCGUCCGUCCCCUGUUCUUUCUCUCCCGUUGCGUCUCUGUCUGCCCUCCCUCUCUUCGCGGCGAACUAGCGCGUGACCGGCGAACCACUGGCCUGAACAUUGAUAAUGUUUAGUUUUUUCAUCAGUUAUUAAUAAAAUCUUCUGUUCCUUAUUCUUUUUCAGCAAACAAGUUCUGGGGAUACCACUGGCAUGAACACUGGAACUUCUUCGGACAUUGGAAAUGCAGGUUUACUUGGACAGUAGAAUCUGUUGAGGCUCCCAAGAGGCCUACGCAAGUUCCUGAUGCCAUUAAGCAUGGGGGAUUUAUUGCUUAUGAGCGCGAAGAUGUUAAAUAUAGGGACCUAAUGUUCGGAUGAACGAUUGGAAGGAAGUCAUGGAGGAGUCCAAACCAGGUCCCCUGUUAAAAACUCAGUCUGCCCGGUGCAUGGACUGUGGCACUCCAUUCUGCCAUCAGGAAAACUCUGGAUGUCCUCUUGGAAACAAAAUACCUGAGUUCAAUGAGCUGGUAUACCAAAAUAGGUGGCAGGAAGCACUAGAUCGACUGUUGGAGACAAAUAAUUUCCCCCGA